CCUACGGGGUGCAGCAGUGGGGAAUAUUGGACAAUGGGCGAAAGCCUGAUCCAGCCAUGCCGCGUGUGUGAAGAAGGCCUUCGGGUUGUAAAGCACUUUCAGUGGGGAAGAAAGCCUUGGGGCUAAUACCCUCGAGGAAGGACAUCACCCACAGAAGAAGCACCGGCUAACUCCGUGCCAGCAGCCGCGGUAAUACGGAGGGUGCGAGCGUUAAUCGGAAUUACUGGGCGUAAAGCGCGCGUAGGCGGUCUGAUAAGCCGGUUGUGAAAGCCCCGGGCUCAACCUGGGAACGGCAUCCGGAACUGUCAGGCUAGAGUGCAGGAGAGGGAGGUAGAAUUCCCGGUGUAGCGGUGAAAUGCGUAGAGAUCGGGAGGAAUACCAGUGGCGAAGGCGGUCUUCUGGACUGACACUGACGCUGAGGUGCGAAAGCGUGGGUAGCAAACAGGAUUAGAUACCCGUGUAGUC
rnacentral:rRNA from 1 species